rnacentral:rRNA from 1 species
CAAAAACAUGUCUUUUUGAUAAUAAUAUAAAGUCUAACCUGCCCACUGAUUUAUUGAAGGGCCGCGGUAUAUUGACUGUGCAAAGGUAGCAUAAUCAUUUGUCUUUUAAUUGAAGGCUAGAAUGAAUGGUUGAAUGAAGUAUUAACUGUCUCAUAUUAAAAAAUUAAGAAUUUAAUUUUUAAGUCAAAAAGCUUAAAUAAAUUUAAAGGACGAGAAGACCCUAUAGAUCUUUAUAUUUAUUUAAAUAAUAAUUAUUAGUUAGUAAUAUAUUAUUUUUUAUAAAAAUAUUUUAUUGGGGUGAUAGAAAAAUUAAAUAAACUUUAUUUGUUAUUAAACAUUGAUAUAUGAUUAAUUGAUCCUUUUUUAAAGAUUAUAAAUUUAAGUUACCUUAGGGAUAACAGCGUAAUUUUUUUAGAGAGUUCAUAUCGAUAAAAAAGAUUGCGACCUCGAUGUUGAAUUAAAGAUUAUUUUUGAAUGCAGAAGUUUGAAGUUUAGGUCUGUUCGACCUUUGAAUCUUUACAUGAUCUGAG